rnacentral:rRNA from 1 species
CCUACGGGAGGCAGCAGUGGGGAAUUUUGGACAAUGGACGCAAGUCUGAUCCAGCCAUGCCGCGUGUGGGAAGAAGGCCUUCGGGUUGUAAACCACUUUUUGUCAGGGAAGAAACGGUCUGGGUUAAUACCUUGGGCUAAUGACGGUACCUGAAGAAUAAGCACCGGCUAACUACGUGCCAGCAGCCGCGGUAAUACGUAGGGUGCAAGCGUUAAUCGGAAUUACUGGGCGUAAAGCGUGCGCAGGCGGUUAUGCAAGACAGAUGUGAAAUCCCCGGGCUCAACCUGGGAACUGCAUUUGUGACUGCAUGGCUAGAGUACGGUAGAGGGGGAUGGAAUUCCGCGUGUAGCAGUGAAAUGCGUAGAUAUGCGGAGGAACACCGAUGGCGAAGGCAAUCCCCUGGACCUGUACUGACGCUCAUGCGCGAAAGCGUGGGGAGCAAACAGGUAUUAGAUACCCUGGUAGUCCACGCCCUAAACGAUGUCAACUGGUUGUUGGGACGGUUUCUUCUCAGUAACGUAGCUAACGCGUGAAGUUGACCGCCUGGGGGAGGUACGCGCGAGUAGACGUACGAAGAGUAGACGCGNGAGAGAGACGACGACGACGACGAGGAGGAGG